rnacentral:tmRNA from 1 species
GGGGAUGAUCGGUUUCGACAUUGCCUGUGAAACUGCGAGAAGCGGGCCGAGGAUUCAGGGUUAUCUCGUUAACGAUCUCUGAAAAAAUAUAACUGCCAAUAAGACGCAGUCUGCUUUCGCUCUCGCCGCUUAAGGCGGAGUAGUAAAGCCGUCACCCCGAGCGUGUUCUCGUCCCGGGUCCUGACGUCAUCGAGAGAACUCGCUGCGUGGUGGUGUCUGAGCGCCACGCGGGACUCUUACUCGGGCUGGGCUCGUCCUCCUAGAUGCCUGCGGCAAAGGAGGGAGCCGAGUAGAACGACUUCGUAGGAUACGCCCGUAGAAGGCGCGGAAUCUCAGCAGUGGACCCGGGUUCAAUUCCCGGCAUCUCCACCG